rnacentral:rRNA from 1 species
UACGGGGGGGCAAGCGUUGUUCGGAAUUACUGGGCGUAAAGGGCUCGUAGGCGGCCAACUAAGUCGGAUGUGAAAUCCCCAGGCUCAACUUGGGAACUGCAUCCGAUACUGGAUGGCUUGAAUUCGGGAGAGGGAUGCAGAAUUCCAGGUGUAGCGGUGAAAUGCGUAGAUAUCUGGAGGAAUACCGGUGGCGAAGGCGGCAUCCUGGACCAACAUGUACGCUGAGGAGCGAAAGCUAGGGGAGCAAACGGGG